rnacentral:tRNA from 1 species
GUGGGUAUAGCUCAGUGGCAGAGCAUGUGCUUAGCAUGUGCGAGGUCCUGGGUUCAAUCCCCAGUACCUCCA